GAGCCGGGAACGAGCUCAUAAAGAGCACGCGCAUUUUUAGCGGUCCGGAGCUGUAGGAGAAACACAAAUUACCUCAGGCACACAGACUGAUGCGACAAAACCGACAUGACUGGUUAGGACAUGAGGAGGAAACAGUAGGAGCUGUGUGAGGCUACUAAAGGCAGUGGAUCCCUCAGCAGCUGGAUUACAAAGAACACAGUCUCAGAUCAGCACAGCCCUGCCCUCCAGCACUAUCAGCAGCAGGAGCAGCAGCAACCCCUCAACACCAACAUUGUACCCAUCAGAAGACGCCACAGACCCAUCAACAAACAGAAGGGACAGUAUACAUAAACUGAUGCUGCUGUGAAACAUGAAUCGUUUUCUCACUUGUGGGUCCCGCAUUGUGGAGCCAAGUAUCGCAGCCCACACCUGGAGUGUUAAUUCUCAGAAAUGGCAGAUGCAGCUUUUGUACGGGAAAGACAAUUCGACAAAGUAUGUCCGCACACAAAACCACCAUUAAAACAUGAAAUCAGACAAAUCUGACACGCUCUUUGGCUACUAUUACUGUGAGUCGUUGUUUUGCAUGUAUGCACAUCAAACUGUUGAACCAAACAUUGUUGAAAAUGCAUUUGGAUUAAAAGUAAAUGCCUGAAGUUUGUCAUAACCUUUACUGAAAACUGAAAUCACCUCAUAUUUUGCCCUCUUGAUUUUCUGUUCAGUCUAACUGCUG
ensembl:lncRNA